AAGUUUAAAAUUUAUCAUAUAUAUCAUGUUUUGUUAUAUUUUUAAGUAAUUUCUUCAUUUUAUUUAUGAUUGUGUAUGUAGUUGUGGUUUUUAAGUUUUAAAUUUAUCAUAAUUUUUUUUAUAGUUUGUAAGUUAGGUUUAAUCAGGGUUAAUUAGUGUUAAAGAAUUGGGUACUAAACCUGGUCAAUAUCCUGUUUGCCAUUUCUUUCCUGAUGAUAAUCUUCUUUGGGUCCCACUAAGGAAUGGGAGGGGAGUUUUUAGUUAAGGUUAUUAAUAAUUGGAUAAUGAAUGAUUAAUGAUAUGAUCUUGUGGUUUAUGUUAUAAAUGAAUAAAUAUUGUGUUGGUGUUCGACUUUGAAAGUCAAUCACCGUAGAAUUACUGGUAUUUAUAUGUGUAAGAUAAGUUUGUAAUCAAUGUAUGUAGGCUGGUGCCUUAUGAAAUAAAAUUAUGUUGUUAUGUUUUGUUAUUAUUGUUGUUAUUAUCAUCGAUCUAAUUAGAGCAUUUGUUUAAAGUAUAUAUGUUUAAAAGUUGUGUAUUAAUUUUGUUUUGAAUCAAUUAAUCACACUAAUUAGGAUGACAAACGAUCGUUCUUGGAUGUAUGGCAGCAUUGAAUCGUCGGAAUUUAUUGAUGGCGUAUUAGAAUUUUGUAGUAUUGCGGUUGAACAUCAAGUUAGGACGGGGGGAGUUGGUUUUUAUUGCCCAUGUGUCAGUUGUGGCAAUGUAUCAAAGGUAGAUAGUGUUGAUAUCCUUAGGGAGCACAUACUUCGACGUGGGUUUAGGCCUCAAUAUCAUGUUUGGGUUUGGCAUGGUGAGGAGGGAGUUUACAAAGAGAAAAGUGUUGUUGAGGAUGUCAAUAAUGUGGCCGAUGUCAAUGAGGAUGUAGUAGAUCAUGUUGAUGGGUAUGAGACAGAUGAAGAGAAUGUCGAUGAGGACGUGGAUCGUGUUGAUGAGAUGAUGGAGGGAGUCGAGGAUGAGUUAGGAAAACGUCCUCGUGUUUUUGACUUGUUGAUAGAGGCUUCUCAAAAGCCUUUGUACCCUGGAUGUACAAAGUUCACCAAACUAACAGCAGUGUUGACAAUUUUCAACAUUAAAUCAAAGUUCAAUUGGAGUGACGCUAGUUUCACAAUGUUAUUAGAAGCGUUAGGUGAGAUGCUUCCUGAGGGAAAUGAACUUCCAAAGUCGACAUAUUAUGCCCAAAAAGCUCAUGUGUCCUUUCGGCUUAGAGUACCAGAAGAUUCAUGCGUGUCCGAAUGAUUGUGUGUUGUAUCGGAAUGAAAACGAGAACUUAGAAGAGUGUCCUAGGUGUGGGUUAUCGCGCUACAAGCGUAAAAGGGCUCGGGAUGCUAAAGGGCCCCCGGCUAAGGUAUUGUGGUAUCUUCCAAUAAUACCUAGAUUCAAGCGCUUGUUUUCUAUAAAAAAAGAUGCGUUAAAUUUGAGGUGGCAUGCAGAUAGGGUGAAGAAAGGUCACUUGCUCACACAUCCAUCUGAUUCUCGGGAGUGGAAGAGUAUUGAUAGGUUGCAUAAGACUUUUGGGGAUGAGGUUCGUAAUUUAAGGCUCGGACUGUGUACGGAUGGAAUGAACCCAUUCGGCAAUCUUAGUUCUCAACAUAGUACUUGGCCGGUACUUUUAGUGAUCUAUAAUUUGCCACCUUGGUUGUGUAUGAAGCGUAAGUACCUUCAAUGCCUGUUACAAGUGGCCACAUCAGUGUGGCCGUGGAGACUAUUGUAAAGGGGUUUGAAGAUUUCUCACUCCCAAUUCCAAUGCCAGCAUGGAGCCUUGAGAAACUAUCAGACGCCCUAGGUAGUUUCGUCACAUGGCCAUAUGCUUGGGUCCGAUUCACUAACAUGCAAAAGAGUCCAAAGAGAUCUUGGAGAGAGGUCGGUUCCUCAACAAAGGUGUCGACUGGGUCAAAGUCGAUGCCAAGCACUCCAAUUUUGACUGAUGAGGAGCUAAAAGAUCUCUCUCAAGAUUGCAAAUGGCUGCAUUAUUGUGCAUCUCGCAUAAGUGAGGAGGACCCAAUCAUUUUGACCCUGCUAAAGGACCCAAGCACUCCAAUUUUUGAGAGGAGAGAUGCUGAACGUAGCUCUUUUCCAUGUCUACAUGAGUGCAGCUUACGAGGAGCUAAAUUCUUGCGAACCUCCAAUAAAAAUUGGAUAGUUUGGUCCGGAGUCGAUUUCGAGUAGUAAAUGUAGAAAUGAUCCAGAUCAGGUCAGAGCAUACAUUGAGACUGCUUUGACUAAUUCCCUUGCAUCUAAACACACAUUCAUUCUGGCUCCAUAUUGGGAAGAUUUGCAUUGGAUACUUUUGAUCAUUUUUCCUUUAACGAACACUGUGCACGUCUUCGACUCAUUACAAAAACCUCAAAGCCCACCUCGCAACACAAGAUUCAAAGCGUUGUUGAAUGCCGCAAUGAAAAGAGUGCGUGGACAAAUGGGAUCUACAUCCAGAGCCACAUUUCCAAAAUGGAUAGCAAGAAAGUGCUUUCAACAACCUUCUUCUUCCGUUGACUGCGGCUACUACGCGCUGAAGUAUAUGAACGAUAUUAUAAAUUCCGUGAAGGACUUUGGAGUCGAAAAUAUAGAUGCCGUUUUAAACGACAUUCUGAGGGAAACACGCCCUUUGAGAAGUGAAGAAAUGCGCAAAUCAAAAGACAAGAUUGCCGCGUAUCUUGCUAAUAUUUGUCCUUG